GACGAACGCUGGCGGCGUGCUUAACACAUGCAAGUCGAACGAUGAAGCUGGAGCUUGCUCCGGUGGAUUAGUGGCGAACGGGUGAGUAACACGUGAGCAAUCUGCCCUUGACUCUGGGAUAACUGCGGGAAACUGUAGCUAAUACCGGAUACUUUCACUGGAAGGCAUCUUCUGGUGAAGAAAGAAUUUCGGUCAAGGAUGAGCUCGCGGCCUGUCAGCUAGUUGGUGAGGUAACGGCUCACCAAGGCGACGACGGGUAGCCGGCCUGAGAGGGUGACCGGCCACACUGGGACUGGGACACGGCCCAGACUCCUACGGGAGGCAGCAGUGGGGAAUAUUGCACAAUGGGCGCAAGCCUGAUGCAGCAACGCCGCGUGAGGGAUGACGGCCUUCGGGUUGUAAACCUCUUUUAGUAGGGAAGAAGCGAAAGUGACGGUACCUGCAGAAAAAGCACCGGCUAACUACGUGCCGGCCGCCGCUGUAA
rnacentral:rRNA from 1 species